rnacentral:lncRNA from 14 species
UGAAUUAAAAGCUAUUUCAGAGUUAGUAUUUCACUGGUGUUUAAAAGUGAGAAAGAUGGAAAAUAUACAUCCAUAGCUAUAUAGCGAAAGGACGGGGAGCAGACGACAAGAGAGAAGAAAGGAAAACUGAAAGUGCUGUAUUCUGGGGGAAAUGUGGAUGAAAGAAAAGUAAAAGAAAAUGCAGAAGAACCAC